CAGUAGCCACGGGAAUACGGAGGGAGCUAGCGUUGUUCGGAAUUACUGGGCGUAAAGCGCGCGUAGGCGGACUUUUAAGUCAGGGGUGAAAUCCCGGGGCUCAACCUCGGAACUGCCUUUGAUACUGGAAGUCUUGAGUAUGGAAGAGGUUAGUGGAAUUGCGAGUGUAGAGGUGAAAUUCGUAGAUAUUCGCAGGAACACCAGUGGCGAAGGCGGCUAACUGGUCCAUAACUGACGCUGAGGUGCGAAAGCGUGGGGAGCAAACAGGAUUAGAUACCCGAGUAGUCCCUGUCUCUUAUAC
rnacentral:rRNA from 1 species